UUGGAGGGCAAGUCUGGUGCCAGCAGCCGCGGUAAUUCCAGCUCCAAUAGCGUAUAUUAAAGUUGUUGCAGUUAAAAAGCUCGUGGUUGAAUUUCGGGAUUGACGUGACGGUCAUGCCUUAAGGGGUAUGAACUGUUACUGUUGAUUUCUCACCUUCUGGAGAAACUUGAUGUCCUUUAUUGGGUGUCUUGCGGAUCCAGGACCUUUACCUUGAAAAAAUUAGAGUGUUUAAAGCAGGCAUUUUUGCUCGAAUACAUUAGCAUGGAAUAAUAGAAUAGGACGGCAUGGUUCUAUUUUGUUGGUUUCUAGGAUCACCGUAAUGAUUAAUAGGGAUAGUUGGGGGCAUUAGUAUUCAAUUGUCAGAGGUGAAAUUCUUGGAUUUAUUGAAGACUAACUACUGCGAAAGCAUUUGCCAAGGAUGUUUUCAUUAAUCAAGAACGAAAGUUAGGGGAUCGAAGACGAUCAGAUACCGUCGUAGUCUUAACCAUAAACUAUGCCGACUAGGGAUCGGACGAUGUUAAUUUUUUAAUGACUCGUUCGGCGCCUUACGGGAAAC
rnacentral:rRNA from 1 species